rnacentral:rRNA from 1 species
AGAGUUUGAUCCUGGCUCAGGAUGAACGCUAGCUACAGGCUUAACACAUGCAAGUCGAGGGGAAACGACAUCGAAAGCUUGCUUUUGAUGGGCGUCGACCGGCGCACGGGUGAGUAACGCGUAUCCAACCUGCCCACCACUUGGGGAUAACCUUGCGAAAGUAAGACUAAUACCCAAUGACGUCUCUAGAAGACAUCUGAAAGAGAUUAAAGAUUUAUCGGUGAUGGAUGGGGAUGCGUCUGAUUAGCUUGUUGGCGGGGUAACGGCCACCAAGGCGACGAUCAGUAGGGGUCUGAGAGGAACGGUCCCCANAUUGGAACUGAGACACGGUCCAAACUCCGUACGGGAGCA